rnacentral:rRNA from 1 species
CGGGGGGAGCAAGCGUUGUUCGGAUUUACUGGGCGUAAAGGGCGCGUAGGCGGCCACCGCAAGUCGACUGUGAAAUCUCCGGGCUUAACCCGGAAAGGUCAGCCGAUACUGCGGGGUUAGAGUGAAGAAGGGGCAACUGGAAUUCUCGGUGUAGCGGUGAAAUGCGUAGAUAUCGAGAGGAACACCUGCGGCGAAGGCGGGUUGCUGGGCUGACACUGACGCUGAUGCGCGAAAGCUAGGGGAGCGAACGGGAUUAGAUACCCCGGUAGUCCUAGCCUUAAACGAUGAAUGCUUGGUGUCUGGGGUUUUAUAGUCCCCGGGUGCCGUCGCUAACGCUUUAAGCAUUCCGCCUGGGGAGUACGGUCGCAAGACUG